rnacentral:rRNA from 1 species
CCCUUAGAUGUCCUGGGCCGCACGCGUGCUACACUGACGCCUACAGCGAGUACUUCCCAGCCCCGAGAGGUGGCUGGUAAUCAGCAAUAGGCGUCGUGAUGGGGAUAGAUCUUUGGAAUUAUGGAUCUUGAACGAGGAAUGCCUAGUAAGCGCAGGUCAUUAGCCUGCGCUGAUUAAGUCCCUGCCCUUUGUACACACCGCCCGUCGCUCCUACCGAUUUCGAGUGGUCCGGCGAAUCUUUCGGACUGCGCGCGGCCUCGUGCCGUGUCGCGGAAAGUCAGGUAAACCUUAUCACUUAGAGGAAGGAGAAGUCGUAACA